UGGCCCUUCUUGCCAUAGUGAUAGCAAGUACCUUUGGCAGAGACCUUCUUCACCUUCUUCUUAGAGUUGCUAGCCUUAGGAUUCAUCUUUUUCUUAGAAUCCUUCUUUGUCUUCUUCUUGUCAUCUUAUCAACAAGAAGAAUCGGAGCCUUUUCACCCUUGCAAUGGUUCUCUACUGUUUUCAACAUAUUCAGCAGCUCAAGCAUGUUAGUAUUUAGUUUGUUUAUAUGAUAAUUUAUAACAAACUGAGAAAAGAAGUUAGGAAAAGACUCCAAGAUCAAAUCCUGGCUCAGUUCACCAUCCAUGGCAAAACCUAGCUAUCCCAGAUGAG
rnacentral:lncRNA from 1 species